ensembl:misc_RNA Metazoa_SRP Metazoan signal recognition particle RNA
GCCGGGCGCGGUGGCGCGUGCCUGUGGUCCCAGCUACUCGGGAGGCUGAGGUGGGAGGAUCGCUUGAGCCCGGGAGCUCUGGGCUGCAGUGCGCUAUGCUGGUCAGGUGUCUGCACUAAGUUCGGCAUCCAUAUGGUGACCUCCCGGGAGCAGGGGACCAGCAGGUGAACAGGCCCAGGUUGGAAACGGAGCAGGUCAAAACUCCCGUGCUGAUCAGUAGUGGGAUCGUGCCUGUGAAUAGCCACUGCACUCCACACUCCAGCCUGGGCAACAUAGCAAGACCCCAUCUUU